GCCGACUUAGCUUAGCUGGUAGAGCAUCUGUCUUGUAAACAGAAGGUCGGAGGUUCGACUCCUCUAGUCGGCAC
rnacentral:tRNA from 1 species